rnacentral:rRNA from 1 species
AUCGGAACGUACCCAAGAGUGGGGGAUAACGUAGCGAAAGUUACGCUAAUACCGCAUACGAUCCAAGGAUGAAAGCAGGGGAUCUUCGGACCUUGUGCUCCUGGAGCGGCCGAUAUCUGAUUAGCUAGUUGGUAGGGUAAAGGCCUACCAAGGCGACGAUCAGUAGCUGGUCUGAGAGGACGACCAGCCACACUGGAACUGAGACACGGUCCAGACUCCUACGGGAGGCAGCAGUGGGGAAUUUUGGACAAUGGGCGCAAGCCUGAUCCAGCAAUGCCGCGUGAGUGAAGAAGGCCUUCGGGUUGUAAAGCUCUUUUGUCAGGGAAGAAACGGGAGUGGCUAAUAUCCAUUCCUAAUGACGGUACCUGAAGAAUAAGCACCGGCUAACUACGUGCCAGCAGCCGCGGUAAUACGUAGGGUGCAAGCGUUAAUCGGAAUUACUGGGCGUAAAGCGUGCGCAGGCGGUUUUGUAAGUCUGUCGUGAAAUCCCCGGGCUCAACCUGGGAAUUGCGAUGGAGACUGCAAGGCUAGAAUCUGGCAGAGGGGGGUAGAAUU